CCUACGGGGGGCUGCAGUGGGGAAUAUUGGACAAUGGGGGCAACCCUGAUCCAGCCAUGCCGCGUGUGUGAAGAAGGCCCUCGGGUUGUAAAGCACUUUCAGUGAGGAAGAACGCCUGGUGGUUAAUACCCAUCAGGAAAGACAUCACUCACAGAAGAAGCACCGGCUAACUCCGUGCCAGCAGCCGCGGUAAUACGGAGGGUGCGAGCGUUAAUCGGAAUUACUGGGCGUAAAGCGCGCGUAGGUGGCUUGAUAAGCCGGUUGUGAAAGCCCCGGGCUCAACCUGGGAACGGCAUCCGGAACUGUCAAGCUAGAGUGCAGGAGAGGAAGGUAGAAUUCCCGGUGUAGCGGUGAAAUGCGUAGAGAUCGGGAGGAAUUCCAGUGGCGAAGGCGGCCUUCUGGACUGACACUGACACUGAGGUGCGAAAGCGUGGGUAGCAAACAGGAUUAGAUACCCCUGUAGUC
rnacentral:rRNA from 1 species